UACGAAGGGGGCUAGCGUUGCUCGGAAUCACUGGGCGUAAAGGGUGCGUAGGCGGGUCUUUUAAGUCAGGGGUGAAAUCCUGGAGCUCAACUCCAGAACUGCCUUUGAUACUGAGGAUCUUGAGUUCGGGGAGAGGUGAGUGGAACUGCGAGUGUAGAGGUGAAAUUCGUAGAUAUUCGCAAGAACACCAGUGGCGAAGGCGGCUCACUGGCCCGAUACUGACGCUGAGGCACGAAAGCGUGGGGAGCAAACAGG
rnacentral:rRNA from 1 species